UUUCUCCCUUCUGCAGCACAGAUACUAAAAUGGGAAUGAUACAGAGAAGACAAGCAUGGCCCUUAAGCAAGGAUGGCAUGCAAAUUUGUGUAGUAUUCCACAUUUUU